rnacentral:lncRNA from 1 species
GAGAAGGGCUGCUUUCCUUGUCAGGUGCUGCUUGACCUUCAGGCUGAGGCCUCAGGGGCCCUGGAAAGGAACUGUGGCAUCUGCCAGGGCCCUUUUGCAUAGGGCCUUCUCUUUUGCAUUUUUCCCAGUCUUUGGAUGCCAUCCCCGUGACCUUUGCCCUGAGUGGGCUGCUCUGCAGUUAAUUACUUGAGUAUCUUGGUGAACAUGAGUUUUCACACCGUAGUCCUGAAGGUUAGCACUGGUUGCAGGCUGCUUAUGAACCUUGUUAACCCUUUCUUCUGGAAAUUUGCAAACAGCCAUUAGACUCCACCUGUGCUGGACAGAUUCUGAAUCUGAACAAAUAAGCAGUACCCUGGGGAAACAAGGUGCACAUGUCACGGCCAAGUGAAAUGUGUUUAUUGGCCAGUUAAUCAUUGUGGUUAAACAUUUGCCUAAGACUACAAGGCGGCAAAGACUUAGAUCCUAAGGAAGGAAAGAAUCAUGUUCACUUUUAGGUUCAGAAAGGCAGAACAGAGCACCUGAGGCCAGCUGUGACAUCAGAAAAGCCGGAGAGAGGGUGCCCUCAGGCACACGUCCAAGGUGGUGAGCCUGAGCUUCACCAUGGUGUGCCUGGGCCUUUCCCUAGAAAGGCUUCAGUACAGUAGCUGGGACAUGGACAUCCCACUGAGGCUCUGCAUCCCUGGGCAGCGUCUAGGGUACUGUCUCAUGCCCCAGGACAGUGCCAUAUCAUGAUCUGGCAUGGCCUGUGUGGGUGGACAGGCCUGGGAGGUGACACUGCAGAGUGAAGGGCUCCAGUUCUGGCUGUUGUGCUAGGUUGGCAGUCUCACUGGGCGAGCCCGCCCUAGUCUUGGUCUAAGUGGUGGUGAGGGCCUUCCGAAGCUCCUUGCUCCUCCUGCGAUCAAUGUCCUCCAUUUCCCGGAGUUUCUGCAAAGAGCCGCCAGGAAGAGCUGUGGUCAUGGCAGGAUGCCUGAGAUGCCACCUAUCCUUGAGGCCUGGGUUCCUCCCAUUUGACUCUACUCUUCCCCUCUUUGGUGGCCUCUCCUACCUGGGAGAUUUCAGCCAGGAUGAUUCCUCGGUAUUGCUUGCCCUGUCCCAGAGCCUCCAUGGCAGCCAAGAAUUCUUUCCUGUCCUGGAUUUCCUUCACCACUGCACAGAGGGGAGGGGCCAUCAUGUGCACAGGGCAGUGUGACUAGAGUGCACAGGGUCUCAGGCAGUGCAUGGUCUCUGAGGGAGACUGGGUGUCUAUCAAGCCAUGUUGCUCUUGUUAGCCCCAGCAGUUCUACACCACACACUACACAACACACACACACACACACACACACACACACUAGCUCACGUUCGUCAAACCGGUCCAGCUCAGGAGCUGGGUCUUCUUGCUGCACGUGGGGAACCUUUUUCCGUUCCUCCAUGUCCUUCCCAGUGGCAAAGAUAUUUUGGAGUCUUCGUUUCUCCUUCUCCAGAUCUCCUGUGGGGCCCAGAAAUGAUCUUGCUAAGUAAGGUACAGAGCAAGGCCUGCUCCCUUGUUCCCAUUAGCGGCUGUGUGCACUGUGGGUAUCUGGGUUGUGAGGAGUGGGCCUCUCCAGAUCCCGCUCUUCACUGUCUGUUCCUGAGCAGAACUUGUUAGGCUAGCAGUGGAAACAACCAAGAAAAGGCACCAGUGCAAAGCUAAUGGGUAACCCAGAAACCAGGCCUCUGAAAUGACCUGUGUGUAGGAACUGUGGGGAUGUUAGUGGGUCUGGGCCAAAGGCAAUGUUAGAGGAGGAGGGGCUCCCCAAUGUGGCCUCAAAUGCAGGCAGAUGAACUUGAGGGAACAGGAGGAUAAGCAGCUCACAGCCACAUGUCCCUCUGGGAUUGGGAAAACUGGAUUAAUUUGAAGGAAGUUCUAGGAAGAUAAAGGGGGCCACCUGCCUGGUUUCCUGCCAGAGUUUGUUACUAGCUCGUUUGAAUGAUACUGUGUGUCCUGGGCUGAUGUGACCCCAGAAGAGAGCUCUACGGUCACCACUUACUGGUGGCCUGAGGCUUGAAUUGCUCACGACUGUAUGCCCCAUUGGCUUGACACAAGCUGGCGGGCCUGAGGUGAGUGUGGGUAGCCAGGAUGGGAGGCAGGUAGAUGGCUGCAGCUGAUUUCUUGGAGGGAGAGCCCCUCUGGCUGGAUGUCGGGUUGCACUGCAGGGGUAGAGGGGCUCCUCCUGGGAAAAAAAAAGAGCAAGUGGGAGCACCUGUUUGGCUUGCUUUCAGAGAAAUAAGGUAGCUGCCAGAAGCCAAACAGUGUAGACAGUCUCCAAAUCCGUCCAGGCCCGCUCCUCUGAAAGCUAUAGUAACAAUUAGGUGGUUGCUCCUUGUUCUUGAAGCUUCUAAAACAUCCAAGGAUUGAUCGUUUGGUAUGUACACAUACGGUUCUUACACUGGAUCAUACCCUAUGGUCAGUAACAGAUCCUUUCACUUAGCAAUUUAUCACGGCCAGCUUCCUGUAAGCACAUGCACAGGUAACUUAUUUUUCAUAGCUGUGUACUAGUUGUAAAAACGUUACAUUAUUUAUUCAGCUAGUCCACUUCUGGACAUUCUGGUUGUCCCUGGUAUUUUGUUUCUUUUUUGUUGGCUGGAUUUUUACUACUUCUGACAAUGCUGCAAUAAACAUUCUUAUACACUGAA